UACGAAGGGGGCUAGCGUUGUUCGGAUUUACUGGGCGUAAAGCACACGUAGGCGGAUCGUUAAGUCGGGGGUGAAAUCCUGGGGCUCAACCCCAGAACUGCCUUCGAUACUGGCGAUCUAGAGUCCGGAAGAGGUGAGUGGAACUCCUAGUGUAGAGGUGGAAUUCGUAGAUAUUAGGAAGAACACCAGUGGCGAAGGCGGCUCACUGGUCCGGUACUGACGCUGAGGUGCGAAAGCGUGGGGAGCAAACAGG
rnacentral:rRNA from 1 species